UACGUAGGGUGCGAGCGUUGUCCGGAAUUACUGGGCGUAAAGAGCUCGUAGGUGGUUUGUCGCGUUGUCCGUGAAAACUCACAGCUCAACUGUGGGCGUGCGGGCGAUACGGGCAGACUGGAGUACUGCAGGGGAGACUGGAAUUCCUGGUGUAGCGGUGAAAUGCGCAGAUAUCAGGAGGAACACCGGUGGCGAAGGCGGGUCUCUGGGCCGUAACUGACGCUGAGGAGCGAAAGCGUGGGGAGCGAACAGG
rnacentral:rRNA from 1 species